rnacentral:tRNA from 1 species
GCUUAAGUAGUUUAACUUAAAACAUUGGUCUUGUAAACCAAAAAUGAAACCUCUUUUUCCUAAAGCA